rnacentral:rRNA from 1 species
ACGUACACUCCUGCGGGAGGCAGCAGUGGGGAAUAUUGCACAAUGGGCGCAAGCCUGAUGCAGCCAUGCCGCGUGUAUGAAGAAGGCCUUCGGGUUGUAAAGUACUUUCAGCGGGGAGGAAGGCGAUAAGGUUAAUAACCUUGUCGAUUGACGUUACCCGCAGAAGAAGCACCGGCUAACUCCGUGCCAGCAGCCGCGGUAAUACGGAGGGUGCAAGCGUUAAUCGGAAUUACUGGGCGUAAAGCGCACGCAGGCGGUCUGUCAAGUCGGAUGUGAAAUCCCCGGGCUCAACCUGGGAACUGCAUUCGAAACUGGCAGGCUAGAGUCUUGUAGAGGGGGGUAGAAUUCCAGGUGUAGCGGUGAAAUGCGUAGAGAUCUGGAGGAAUACCGGUGGCGAAGGCGGCCCCCUGGACAAAGACUGACGCUCAGGUGCGAAAGCGUGGGGAGCAAACAGGAUUAGAAACCCCUGUAGUCCCAUGAU